rnacentral:lncRNA from 1 species
CGGAGACAAGUGAAGAGAACUGACUUACACCUUAAAGAACUGCUGUUUGCUCUGUAAAGGUUGCCCUUCAUCACUCAGCAGUGAAGAAUGAAAAUCAACAGAGCUUUCCCCAGCCUGCUGCUUAAGCAGCUGCUAGCAGGCUGAGGCUGCCCAGCCUCAUUAACCCAUUAGAUGCUGCGUUCGCCCGGGAGUCAUUCUUAAUGAGGCUGCUGCAGAUGAGAAAACAGAAGCAAAGGCAGAAAGAUGCUACAUUGCCAGCUUUGAAGAUGGAGGGAAGAGGUCACAAACCAAGGAAGGUGAGUGGUGCCUAGAAGUUGGAAAAGACAUGGAAACACAUUCUUCUGUAAAGCACUUAGAAAGAAAUACAGUCUUCCAAAAUGUUGAUCUUAGCCAGGCAAUGAGGACGUUGCACAAGACAGUCCCUGAUACCCAGAGUUUACUGCCUAAGAGAGGAUACAUCCUUCAAACCAAUAAUCUGCUAAUAGCAAGAUCCAAUAGCUUCAUGGAUAUUGAAAGAAACUGAGAAUCAAAUUUGCAUACUUCUGAGUCACUUGGAAACAAAAAACAAGUACAGUCUUAGAUUCUGAGGGAACAAAAAUUAAAAAUCACAUUAGGAAGAGAAUUCCUAAUGUAGGAACUCAUCCUGGAAGAUUCUUCAGCAAAAGUACAGACAAUAAUAAUAAUACUCCAUGAAGUUACCAUCGAUAUUGAAUGAAUUAAUGAAUGUAAAAACCUCAAAACCCUGCCUGGCCCAGAGCUUUGGAAUGGGUUUGGAUCUACCACUCAACUGCUUUAUGACUUCAGACCAGUUAUUUAAAUUCCCUGAAGCUCAGUUUCCACAUCU